rnacentral:rRNA from 1 species
UACGUAGGGUGCAAGCGUUGUCCGGAAUUAUUGGGCGUAAAGAGCUCGUAGGCGGUUUGUUGCGUCGGCUGUGAAAUCCCGAGGCUCAACCUCGGGUCUGCAGUCGAUACGAGCAAACUAGAGUGUUGCAGGGGAGACUGGAAUUCCUGGUGUAGCGGUGAAAUGCGUAGAUAUCAGGAGGAACACCGAUGGCGAAGGCAGGUCUCUGGGCUGACACUGACGCUCAUGCACGAAAGCGUGGGGAGCAAACAGG